UCUCUCUCUCUCUCUCUCCAUUUUCUCCCUCUUAUAAAAGGGCGAACUAAUGCACAAAGCAUCCUCUCAUAAAAUGAUUUCAAAAUUAUCUGUCAUUUAAUUAGUCUCUGUGCUACUAUUUGAAACUCACAUGAGAUAACUCAUGGCUAGUAAAUAUAACAGCCCAAUAAACAUGGUUAGAUUUUGCACUGCUAUAGUCACUGUUAAAGAAUACAGUUUGUAGCACCAGAAUAAUCCCUUGCAGAAUGGUUAACUGACACUUCAGACCAUUUGAUCACUUACAGAAUAUUGAAAGUAGGGAACACAAUUAACUCAGAGUCAAGGCCAAAGGGGAGACCAUCCAAAAACUUUUCCCCAUUCUGCUAAAAUUUAAGGCCAUCUAGUUCAUCAUAUUCCUUCACAGAAUCUCAACCCACAUUCUUUGCACUGGUUUAUUCCAUAUAACUAUUUAUCUGAGAAUUCAUUAGCCUUCAUGGACAUGACAAAGCACAAAGCUAAACACUUCUCCACAGAAAACAAUUUGAUUAAUAUUUUGCGUCCUUUUCACAAUUUAAAGGGAAACACAAACUUAAACCCUCUUACACAAAGUCUUAACUCGCCUACAACGAAGGCAAAAAAAUGAAAAAAAAAAAUGACAGUUUUCAAGUUAAUAAUACAAGAGAUCAUAAGGACGCAUGAGCAUCAAGGAAGAUGUAACUUACGCAUACUUAAAUGAGAGACAAUGCAGAGGAGCUUUAUUAGUUUCAUCCAUCAUCUUUCUUCAAUAGCUUAGGAGAGAAAUGCAUCCUAGAAUAGAGCACAGCAAUCAAACUUUCUAACCACAAUUCUCUGUAUAGAAAUGCAGCAACCAGUGCACAAAUGAAAUCAAGUAUGUGUAAUUAUUACCAUCAGAGAGGCAAAAACCAUUCUUUUCCACAUUUAACAUUGCAAGUUUGAUCAACUUUUGACACAUUGUUACUCAUACUAAGCAUCUGAAGCUGAAGUUCCCUGUUCGACAGAUUUUGCUCUACUGGAGUAUAGGAUCCAAAUUUAAUCCAAACUAAAUAAGGAAAAAGAAAAGAAAAGAAACCUUACACACACAGUUCAUACCUUCCUCGUGACUUUGAUGAUUUUCACCUUUAGCCUUUUCAAUAUCAGAAUUUAAAGACCGGGCAAGCCAUUUAACACGAUUUAAUCGUAACCCUUUCGGAGGCACACAACUGGAAUUUGCGUUUACAUUUCCCCUAAUGAUCAAAUCUGCAGCAAUUAUGUGAUUAUUAGAAAUAUCUACAGGAUCAUCCAGUGACCUCGCCAGAUGUUUCAAAUGGUUUAGACGCAAUCUUCUGGGUAAUUUAGCUAAUAUAUGAGCCGGAAUUUCCAAACCUACAGAAUUCUUGUGCCCUGAAUUGAGACCAACAUUGCAUUGGGCAUCAACAAUCGAAACGGAAAUCAAUGGUGGGUAAUCGUUACUUUUGGCAGCGAGCGUGGUGGAGGAGGAGGUGGUGGAU
rnacentral:misc_RNA from 1 species